rnacentral:lncRNA from 1 species
CUUGUCCCACAAAGAAUAACCUAACCAUUUUUUUCCGAAAGCAUGAUUCAUAGGUUGGAAUUAACUCAGAUUUAAUCAAGUCAAAGAUCCCAUCCUUUUUCAAUCUAUUUAUCUUGUCCUCUCCAAUAUGACUAAGCCUAUGGUGCCAUAAGUACUUAUGGUUAAACACAUCUCUAGGUCUCUUUUGGUCUACGACACUCACUACUUGCUCAUUUAGGUUCACAUUAGCAUCA